UACAGAGGGUGCAAGCGUUGUUCGGAAUUACUGGGCGUAAAGCGAGUGUAGGCGGCCUAUUAAGUCAGAUGUGAAAUCCCUUGGCUCAACCGAGGAACUGCAUCUGAUACUGGUAGGCUUGAGUGUCGGAGGGGAUGGUAGAAUUCCUGGUGUAGAGGUGAAAUUCGUAGAUAUCAGGAGGAAUACCUGUGGCGAAGGCGGUUGCCUGGGGCUUUGCUGACGCUGAUGCGCGAAAGCGUGGGGAGCGAUCCGG
rnacentral:rRNA from 1 species